rnacentral:rRNA from 1 species
CCUACGGGUGGCAGCAGUGGGGAAUAUUGCGCAAUGGGCGAAAGCCUGACGCAGCGACGCCGCGUGAGGGAUGAAGGUCUUCGGAUCGUAAACCUCUGUCAGCAGGGAAGAACGGUCACUGUGCUAAUCAGCAGUGAAUUAACGGUACCUGCAAAGGCAGCACCGGCUAACUCCGUGCCAGCAGCCGCGGUAAGACGGAGGGUGCGAGCGUUAAUCGGAAUUACUGGGCGUAAAGCGCUCGUAGACGGUAGGUCAAGUCAAGGGUGAAAUCCCCGCGCUAAACGGGGGAACUGCCUUUGAAACUGGCAAACUGGAGUGUGUGAGCGGAUAGUGGAAUGUGAGGUGUAGGAGUGAAAUCCGUAGAUAUC